rnacentral:rRNA from 1 species
UACGAAGGGGGGCUAGCGUUGUUCGGAAUUACUGGGCGUAAAGCGUGCGCAGGCGGUUGCUGAAGUCCGUUGUGAAAGCCCCGGGCUUAACCUGGGAAUGGCAGUGGAAACUAGGCGACUUGAAUCUGGCAGAGGGGGGUGGAAUGCCACGGUGUAGCAGUGAAAUGCGUAGAGAUGUGGCGGAACACCGAUGGCGAAGGCAGCCCCCUGGGUCGAGAUUGACGCUCAGGCACGAAAGCGUGGGGAGCAAACAGG